AAAUAAAUUCUUAUAGUUUAAAAAAUUUAAUGAAAAUUUACUUUAUAUAUAAAUUUUUGUAUAAAUUUUAAAUUAUUUAAUAAUAAUUUAUUAAAAUAUUUUGUAGUAAAUAAUUUUAAAAAUUUAAGAAAUUAAGAUUUAGUAAUAUAAAAAUUAAUAGCAAAUUUUUGUGCCAGCAGUUGCGGCUAUACAAAAAUUAAAUUAAAUUUUAUUAGGUAAAUUGAUAAAUAUAAUUUAUAAAUAUAUUAUAAAAAUAUUAGAUUAUUAAGUGAAAUUUUAAUUUAAUUAAAGUUAAAUAUAAAAAUUAUGAGUCAAUAAAAUUUAAAAAUAAACUAGGAUUAGAUACCCUAUUAUAAAAAAUUAAAUUGAAAUACUAAAAUAGUAUAUAAUUAUUUAUUGAAACUUAAAUAAAUUGGCGGUAUAUUAGUUCAUUUAGAGGAAUCUGUCUAAUAAUUGAUAACCCACGAAUAAAUUUACUUAAUUUUUAAUUUUAUAUAUCGUUGUUAAAAAAAUAUUUUUAAAAAAAAAUAAUAUUUUAAAAUUAAAAUUAAAAUUUAAAUCAGAUCAAGAUGUAGAUAAUAAUUAAGAAUAUGAUGGAUUACAAUGAAUAUAUUUAAAUGAAUAUUAAUUUGUAAAAAUAAAUUGAAGGUGGAUUUAAAUGUAAUUUUAUUUAAUUUAAUAAAAUGAUUAAAAAUUAAUAUAUGUACAUAUUGCCCGUCGCUUUCAUAAAUAAAUUGAAAUAAGUCGUAACAAAGUAGAGGUACUGGAAAGUGUUUCUAGAAAAAUUUU
rnacentral:ncRNA from 1 species